rnacentral:rRNA from 1 species
GAUGAACGCUAGCGGCAGGCCUAAUACAUGCAAGUCGGACGGGAUUGGAGAGCUUGCUUUCCAUGAGAGUGGCGCACGGGUGCGUAACACGUAUGUAACCUACCUUUAUCAGGGGGAUAGCCUCUCGAAAGAGAGAUUAACACCGCAUAAAAUCACAGAACGGCAUCGUUUAAUGAUCAAAUAUUUAUAGGAUAAAGAUGGGCAUGCGGGACAUUAGCUAGAUGGUGAGGUAACGGCUCACCAUGGCCAUGAUGUCUAGGGGAUCUGAGAGGAUGGCCCCCCACACUGGUACUGAGACACGGACCAGACUCCUACGGGAGGCAGCAGUAAGGAAUAUUGGUCAAUGGACGGAAGUCUGAACCAGCCAUGCCGCGUGCAGGAAGACGGCCCUACGGGUUGUAAACUGCUUUUGUACGGGAAUAAACCCAGAUACGAGUAUCUGGCUGAAUGUACUGUAAGAAUAAGGAUCGGCUAACUCCGUGCCAGCAGCAGCCGCGG